rnacentral:rRNA from 1 species
UACGUAGGGUGCAAGCGUUUGUCCGGAAUUAUUGGGCGUAAAGAGCUCGUAGGCGGUCUGUCGCGUCUGCUGUGAAAACCUGGGGCUUAACCCCGGGCCUGCAGUGGGUACGGGCAGACUAGAGUGCGGUAGGGGUGACUGGAAUUCCUGGUGUAGCGGUGGAAUGCGCAGAUAUCAGGAGGAACACCGAUGGCGAAGGCAGGUCUCUGGGCCGAUACUGACGCUGAGGAGCGAAAGCGUGGGGAGCGAACAGG